rnacentral:rRNA from 1 species
UACGUAGGGUGCAAGCGUUGUCCGGAAUUAUUGGGCGUAAAGAGCUCGUAGGCGGUUCGGCAAGUCACGUGUGAAAUCUCCACGCUCAACGUGGAGGCGCCACGUGAGACUGCUGUGACUCGAGUCCGGUAGGGGAGCGUGGAAUUCCCGGUGUAGCGGUGAAAUGCGCAGAGAUCGGGAGGAACACCAGUAGCGAAGGCGGCUCGCUGGGCCAUUCCUGACGCUGAGACGCGAAAGCUAGGGGAGCGAACAGG